AUGCACCUUGGAUACCUCAUCCUCACUGCCUUCCUGGGGCAGCUGCUUGGCACCAUGGGGCAGAUCACAGUCACCCAGCAAAAAGAACAAGUCACAGUGAAGCAGGGAGGUAAAUUCCAGACCACCUGCACAUACCAGACCUCCUACUUCAAUGGCUUGCUCUGGUACCAGCUGAAGAAAGGCCAAGCUCCCCAGCUGCUCUCCUAUCAUGCAGGAGCUGGCUCCAAGCAGAGUGGCCGUCUCACCACGUUGCUGAACACCACGGGGAAAUACAGCCUCCUGCAGCUGCAGGAAGCCGAGGCCUUUGACAGUGCCUUAUAACUCUGUGCUGUGAGUGACACCUUGGCACAGGGAGCUUCCUUGGUUGGGCAAGAUCCCAGGGACAAGUGCCUCUUCCAGGAGAUGACACUGUCCAAGGCCUGA